UACGUAGGGUGCAGGCGUUAAUCGGAAUCACUGGGCGUAAAGCGCACGUAGGCGGCUUAUUAAGUCAGGGGUGAAAUCCUGGAGCUUAACUCCAGAACUGCCUUUGAUACUGAUGAGCUUGAGUCCGGGAGAGGUGAGUGGAACUGCGAGUGUAGAGGUGAAAUUCGUAGAUAUUCGCAAGAACACCAGUGGCGAAGGCGGCUCACUGGCCCGGUACUGACGCUGAGGUGCGAAAGCGUGGGGAGCAAACAGG
rnacentral:rRNA from 1 species